GCGAAAACUUUACAAUGCUGGCAACAGCGAUAAGGUAACCUCGACUGCCAGGUUACAAAUCUGGCUGUCGAGCUGCCUAAAAAGCAUUUCAUAGCAAGGGCCGGGCAAGACCGGUGCCAGCCGCCGCGGUAACACCGGCCGCUCGAGUGGUAACCGUUAUUAUUGGGUCUACAGGGUCUGUAGCCGGCCGGAUAAGUCUCUUGAGAAAUCUGGCAGCUUAACUGUCAGGCUUUCAGGAGAUACUGUCUGGCUCGAGGCCGGGAGAGGUGAGAGGUACUUCAGGGGUAGGGGUGAAAUCUUGUAGUCCUUGAAGGACCACCAGUGGCGAGGGCGGCUCACCAGAACGGACCUGAGGGCAAGGGACCAAAGCUAGGUGCACGAACC
rnacentral:rRNA from 1 species